rnacentral:rRNA from 1 species
AGCGAACGCUGGCGGCAGGCUUAACACAUGCAAGUCGAACGCAUCCUUCGGGAUGAGUGGCAGACGGGUGAGUAACGCGUGGGAACGUGCCCUCCGGUUCGGGAUAACCCAGGGAAACUUGGGCUAAUACCGGAUACGUGCUUAUGGCAGAAAGGUUUACUGCCGGAGGAUCGGCCCGCGUCUGAUUAGCUAGUUGGUGGGGUAACGGCCUACCAAGGCUGCGAUCAGUAGCUGGUCUGAGAGGAUGAUCAGCCACACUGGGACUGAGACACGGCCCAGACUCCUACGGGAGGCAGCAGUGGGGAAUAUUGGACAAUGGGCGCAAGCCUGAUCCAGCCAUGCCGCGUGAGUGGUGAAGGCCUUAGGGUUGUAAGGCUCUUUCGUCCGGGACGAUAAUGACGGUACCGGAAGAAGAAGCCCCGGCUAACUUCGUGCCAGCAGCCGCGGUAA